CAGGGCCUGGGGCAAAUUGCCCCACUUCCCCCCCCCCAGGCGGCUCUGGCUCUGGGUUAGUAGAACUCAAGUUAGCAGCCCCUGAGCUUGUUAACGUAGGCCUUGAGCAUCUACACUUAUUUGUAACUCUAGGUUAGGAAUUCUUGAACUCUAGGUCCCAACCCAGGGCUCUAGGUCUACACUGCAUUAUGUGGGCCUGAGUCCAACUACCCAUAUCCCAGACUUCCUAGUGCCCUCCCAAACUGUGACUGCUCUAGCCCUUUGUUCAUGGUGAAAUGUGGGAAAUCUUGACUGUCCAAAGGACAAAAAGUUGACCCAUACGAUUGUGGAAUACUUUUGCUGCACUCCCAGAGAAUGAGUCCAGUGGGGCUGUCUACACUGCAAAGCAAUAGGGCUUGAACCUUGGAUCCCACCUUGACCCAGGCUCAGAUCUUCCGCCCCUGUGGGGUGCUGGGAGCCAAGCCCUGAAUUAGGAUAAUUUGCAUGUAGAUGGAAGGGGGAUUAGGAUUGAGCCUGAGCUCAAAUCCUGGGUUUACACUGCACUGUAGAUAUACUCAACAUACUCUUUUGUUACAAGAUGUGUUUUGUUGUAUAUGUUUCCUUGUGGCACAGAGGUAGUCUUGCCAAAACCACUGUCCAGUCACUGAAGUACUGAGCUGUUUAAUUUGCUUCCAUAUUGUGCUUCUGUACCAUUCUAUUAAAUAGUUAAAUAUAGUAAGCCAGGAAAUCUAUACUUGGAAGAAACCACAAGCCAUAUUAUCCUGCAGCCAGUGCAAGGCAGAUCAUAACAACAAAGAUCACAUGUUAGAUUUCAAAGGCCUACUCUCUGCUUUGCAGAGCAUCCUCAGGCCCUACUGAAUUUAACUGGUGGUGAGAUCACUCAGCAUCUUGCAGGAUGAGGCACCUUUUUAGAAAAACGUGCAUAAACCGGUCUUGCUAGAAAGGUACUAUCGUGGUUUCUUUGUCUCAUACAGGCAGGACUUCACUGUGCUGUGAAACUUUUCCAGAAACCAUUUUAUUGUAUAGAAAGUGCAAAUACAAUACUGCAGAAAGCAUCAUUUGUACACCAGUUUUACAGCAUGGUUAGGAGUUGGCUGUACCACCUCAGGAACCAGUGUGAGCAACUUUCUAAGAAGGACUGUUUCAGAACUGUAUUCUAGAAAGACGCUAGCAUGCUUUCUUUGGAGCCUUGGCCAAAGUUUGAUGGCCAUUUUGAGAAUAUCACCUGUCUGCUAUCCACUAGUAGCAUUAGCAUUGGCUUCAAAAGAAGCAUCUUGUCUCCUCUUUCAUACAAAUUAAAGUGUCACCCUCACAUAUUUGAGUGGUGAGAAGCAAUAAGCAAAUGGAAAUAGACCAUGAUUCAAAUCCUCAGCUUAAUUUGGGGGAAGCAGUAAGAAGGUUAUGGAUACCUUGAGAUACCCCACUGUGGCAAACCCAGGACAAAUAGCUACCAAGGGAGGGGUAGUAAUUAGUCCCAGAGGGGUUAAAAGGCCUCUCCCUAUCCAUUGAGGGGAGAUAGCCAUGGAGAAAUAAGGCUCAUCUGGAAGAGGGGUUACCAGGAAACUAAUUAGGUUCAGCUGGCCCCAAUUGCUGGAGACCUUUUUAAACCCUCCCUGCCGGGGGGGGGGAGGUGAGAGAAGCUGCUGGUGAGUAAGUGCAGCAAGACUCUGAACUCUUCCAGCAAGGAAGACUGCACUCUGUCCCCAGAAGAGGAGAAAACCAGAGCAAGGGACUGACUGAGAAAAGGAUCAGCCAGACCCUGUGCAACCGGAAAGGACUUUGGUUUGCCCAAAGCUGUGUCUCCAAGGCAAAAAGGGACUGAGCCAGCUGAGGAGAAGCAGGUACUUUGCCACACCAUCUACAAGGUAUAUAGUGUGGAUUCUCUUAUUGUCUCACAAAGCAGUUAACAUGGCUGGACUAUACUUCCUUUCAUCUAGCAAGGGAACCAGAAGAUACUUAACCUGACAUUUUCAAAGAGAGCCACAUAAUUCCCACUGACCACAGAAAAUUGAAAAUUUCCUUUUCCUUUUUCCAAAUGUGGAGGUUAUGAUUCAAGUUUAAUUUUAACAUUCAAAUGAGCGGCUGAGGCCUUUGAGGAAUGCCCAUCACUACUCAGUACCCUUUCCAGUAGGAGAAAAUAAAUGGGAUCAGGAGUUUCAGUCUCAAAAAACCUUAAAACACAAAAAACUAGGUCAUUUAGUACAUGACUCAGGGACCAACGCAGGAUAUUAACAUAUAGUCCUGUAUUCACCAUUGUUUUGCCCAGUCUCAUUGUAAUUGCCCCAAGUAUGUGGUUUCCACCAUUUCACUUGAUAAACUACUAGGUAAUCUACUAAUCUUAGGUACGAAUUUUUGUCUGAUAUUCGUCCUUUUCACCAACACCACCAAAGAAAAAAAGGCUUGUUUUCACUCUACUAUCUUCCACCCUACAAUGUUAGUCUAUAACAAUACAAUUAAAAGCAACUCUGUUAGCACUUCUUUGAGUUUUAUAUUCUUUCACUUCAGUUCAUUUUCAUGCAGCAUUUGAUCUGGCUAGCUGUUGUAAGUUGCUAUCUCCAGUUCUACAUAGUGUUACUGGAAAUACUUAUGUAUUCAAGUUGCUAUACACCAAUAAAACUCUUAAAAAAUCCUAA